UGGCACCCCUCCCAAGGUACUCACACCUGAGACGGAGCAGGUCCUCUCCAUUCUUGGGACCGAUAUCCAGGAUAUUGGCAACCCCUAUGGUCAUGAUGCCAUGUCAUCUCAGGCAACGUCGCACCGACAUGGUCGACUCAUCCGAUUUACCAAGUCUCUCUUUGUGAGAUAAAAUUCUUACUCAACCGCCCUCUACGAAGUGGUUCAUCUGGAAGAGCCCGCUGCGCCACCUCUACCUACACCAGCAGAAGAGCCGACACUCGAGGAAAGAAACAGUGUGGCCGAACCCGAAGUGUCCUCCUGUCCAUCCUCAAGUGCAAAGAGGAGGCAGCGUAGUGCCAGGAGGGCACUUCAGGACCAUGAACUAUAUGGCACACCAGGAGGAGAGAGUGCUAGCAAUAAGAAAGAAGAAAUGCAGCGGAGAGUUCUGGAGAAGAGGGACGCACUGAUGGACCUACAGAUGCAGCACAUGCAGGUUCGUCUUGAAGAAGCCAAGCAGAGGCGGGAAGAAGCCAAGGAGAGUUGGGAAGAAGCCAAGGAGAGGCGGGAAGAAGCCAAGGAGAG